UCAAGUAAUUAAGUGCAUGUGGUGGAUGCCUUGGCAGUCAGAGGCGAUGAAAGACGUAAUAGCCUGCGAUAAGCUCCGGGGAGGCGGCAAAUAUCCUGUGAUCCGGAGAUUUCUGAAUGGGGAAACCCACCUGUCAUAAGGCAGGUAUCGUAUGAUGAAUACAUAGUCAUACGAGGCGAACGAGGGGAAGUGAAACAUCUCAGUACCCUUAGGAAAAGAAAUCAAUUGAGAUUCCCUCAGUAGCGGCGAGCGAACGGGGAAAAGCCCAUUAAGUCAUAUAAGUUCUAGUGGAAUGCUCUGGGAAGUGCAACCAUAGUGGGUGAUAGUCCUGUACACGAAAGGGCUUAUAUGAUGAUGUCGAGUAGGGCGGGGCACGUGAAACCUUGUCUGAAUAUGGGGGGACCAUCCUCCAAGGCUAAAUACUCCUGACUGACCGAUAGUGAACCAGUACCGUGAGGGAAAGGCGAAAAGAACCCCUGUGAGGGGAGUGAAAUAGAUCCUGAAACCGCAUGCAUACAAGCAGUGGGAGCCGACUUGUUCGGUGACUGCGUACCUUUUGUAUAAUGGGUCAGCGACUUACAUUCAGUAGCAAGGUUAACCGCAUAGGGGAGCCGUAGAGAAAUCGAGUCUUAAUAGGGCGUUUAGUUGCUGGGUGUAGACCCGAAACCGGGUGAUCUAUCCAUGAGCAGGUUGAAGGUUGGGUAACACUAACUGGAGGACCGAACCCACUGUCGUUGAAAAGCCAGGGGAUGACUUGUGGAUAGGGGUGAAAGGCUAAUCAAACUCGGUGAUAGCUGGUUCUCCCCGAAAGCUAUUUAGGUAGCGCCUCGGACGAAUACCAUUGGGGGUAGAGCACUGUUUCGGCUAGGGGGUCAUCCCGACUUACCAAACCGAUGCAAACUCCGAAUACCAAUGAGUACUAUCCGGGAGACAGACUGCGGGUGCUAACGUCCGUAGUCAAGAGGAAAACAAUCCAGACCGCCAGCUAAGGCCCCAAAAUUAUAGUUAAGUGGGAAACGAUGUGGGAAGGCAUAGACAGCUAGGAGGUUGGCUUAGAAGCAGCCACCCUUUAAAGAAAGCGUAAUAGCUCACUAGUCGAGUCGGCCUGCGCGGAAGAUGUAACGGGGCUAAAACUAUAUGCCGAAGCUGCGGAUUUGCAAUUUAUUGCAAGUGGUAGGGGAGCGUUCUGUAAGCCGAUGAAGGUGUAUUGAGAAGUAUGCUGGAGGUAUCAGAAGUGCGAAUGCUGACGUGAGUAACGACAAUGCGAGUGAAAAACUCGCACGCUGAAAGACCAAGGGUUCCAGUCCAACGUUAAUCGGGGCUGGGUGAGUCGACCCCUAAGGCGAGGCCGAGAGGCGUAGUCGAUGGGAAAUUGGUUAAUAUUCCAAUACUUCUAUGUAAUGCGAUGAGAGGACGGAGAAGGUUAAGUCAGCCUGGCGUUGGUUGUCCAGGUGGAAGGUUGUAGGCAUGUAUCUUAGGCAAAUCCGGGGUACUCUAUGCUGAGAACUGAUAGCAAGCUGUACUUGUACAGUGAAGUGGCUGAUACCAUGCUUCCAGGAAAAGUCUCUAAGCUUCAGUUACAUAGGAAUCGUACCCGAAACCGACACAGGUGGUCAGGUCGAGUAGACCAAAGCGCUUGAGAGAACUCUGCUGAAGGAACUAGGCAAAAUGGUACCGUAACUUCGGGAGAAGGUACGCUGCCGACGGUGAUAGGAUUUACUCCUUGAGCUAUUGGCAGCCACAGAAACCAGGCCCCUGCAACUGUUUAUUAAAAACAUAGCACUCUGCAAACACGAAAGUGGACGUAUAGGGUGUGAUGCCUGCCCGGUGCUGGAAGGUUAAUUGAUGGGGUUAGCGUAAGCGAAGCUCUUGAUCGAAGCCCCAGUAAACGGCGGCCGUAACUAUAACGGUCCUAAGGUAGCGAAAUUCCUUGUCGGGUAAGUUCCGACCUGCACGAAUGG
rnacentral:rRNA from 1 species